rnacentral:rRNA from 1 species
UAGGGAAUCUUCGGCAAUGGACGAAAGUCUGACCGAGCAACGCCGCGUGAGUGAAGAAGGUUUUCGGAUCGUAAAACUCUGUUGUUAGAGAAGAACAAGGACGUUAGUAACUGAACGUCCCCUGACGGUAUCUAACCAGAAAGCCACGGCUAACUACGUGCCAGCAGCCGCGGUCAUACGUAGGUGGCAAGCGUUGUCCGGAUUUAUUGGGCGUAAAGCGAGCGCAGGCGGUUUCUUAAGUCUGAUGUGAAAGCCCCCGGCUCAACCGGGGAGGGUCAUUGGAAACUGGGAGACUUGAGUGCAGAAGAGGAGAGUGGAAUUCCAUGUGUAGCGGUGAAAUGCGUAGAUAUAUGGAGGAACACCAGUGGCGAAGGCGGCUCUCUGGUCUGUAACUGACGCUGAGGCUCGAAAGCGUGGGGAGCAAACAGG